AUCAGAGUAGAAAGCUGUGCGUGAAGUGUCUGGCAGACGGGGAGUUGCUGUCGGGACGAAGAGCCUUAAAAAAGACUUGCGGUACAGUUUUCGCAUCCCGCUGUA
rfam:Ruminococcus sp. 37_24 Ley3_66761_scaffold_193, whole genome shotgun sequence.